GGAGAGUCCCAAGGAGGCACUCAGGCCUCGGGAUUUGUACAGCCACCUCACUACCCACAUUUCUCACAACAUCCCGGGUAUUCGAUGGGAGGUACAUCGGAUUACCCUAGUUUCACCCCUUAUCCCACACAGAUGCCAUACCCACCAUACUACCCACCAUACUCUCAGUACCCAAUGUAUCCACCUCCACCCUACUAUCCAAAUCCAGAAAACCCUACCUCAGAAAAUGUUGCACCACCUCCACCACCUGCAGAACCAGCAGCCCCAGUUGUUCAGCCACCUAGACCUAGCUCAGCCAGUGGGAGCAAGGUUAAGAUGACCGACUACAUGAAAUUGGGUGCUCCUUAGUAUGAAAAAGGGGAUGACCCAUUUGUGUACCUUGAAAGGGUUAAAGUAAUCACUAAUGAGAUUGGGGUUGAUGACAGUAGAGCCAUUCAGAUGGCCGGGUUCACGCUUAAGUGCAAGAAGGCACGGGAGUGGUUCAAGAAUUAUGUGAACCCGAGAGUGGACAGCAUGACUUGGGAAGAGUUUGCAAAUGAGUUUGCAGGAUGGGCUUUUCCCGAUAGUUCAAGGGAGCUGAAGAUGAUAGAGUUUGAACAGUUGAGGCAGACGGAUGAAAUGGGUGUGGAGGAGU
rnacentral:lncRNA from 1 species